rnacentral:rRNA from 1 species
AUGCAUAGGACAGCGCAUGACCUGAAGAUUUCGGCAAGGACACUCUUCAGUGAUGCAAAAGUUCAGUUCCACUUGGCGUGCGAAGUGAUCUUGCGGCUUGAUGUUGCUCAAGAGAGAAGAGGACUGACACAAAAUGAAUACUGGUUAAGGAAACAACUGAAACUCAGGAUCCUUGGCCUGGCUGCAGUGGAGAGAGCAAGGAAAAGACAAGCCUCAAGGAUAACCUGGCUCAGGGCGGGGGAUGCACGAACGGCUUUCUUCCAACAAAAAAUCAAUUCCAGAAGGAGGAAGAAUUUUAUUUAUUCUCUGCAAACAGACACGAUUACAACCACAGCUCAUGAUGAAAAAGCAGCAAUUGCUCACAACCAUCUUGCUAACCUGUUGGGAAGAAAAGAGGAAAGGCAGUGCUCCAUCAACUGGGAGGAAUUGGAUAUGCCAAAUUUACAAAACGAGGGGCCGGAUAACCCU